GACGAACGCUGGCGGCAUGCCUAACACAUGCAAGUCGAGCGAGCAGAUCCCUUCGGGGUGAAGCUAGCGGCGGACGGGUGAGUAACACGUGGGCAACCUGCCUCAUAGAGGGGAAUAGCCUUCCGAAAGGAAGAUUAAUACCGCAUAAGAUUGUAGCUUCGCAUGAAGUAGCAAUUAAAGGAGCAAUCCACUGUGAGAUGGGCCCGCGGAGCAUUAGCUAGUUGGUGAGGUAACGGCUCACCAAGGCGACGAUGCGUAGCAGACCUGGGAGGGUGAUCGGCAACAUUGGGACUGAGACACGGCCCGGACUCCUAGGGGAGGCAGCAGUGGGGAAUAUUGCACAAUGGGGGAAACCCUGAUGCAGCAAUGCCGCGUGAGUGAUGACGGCCUUCGGGUUGUAAAGCUCUGUCUUCGGGUACGAUAAUGACGGUACCCGAGGAGGAAGCCACGGCUAACUACGUGCCAGCCGCCGCGUAA
rnacentral:rRNA from 1 species